GGGCUUUUGGAUGUUCCCAGGCUAGGGGUUGAAUUGGAGGUGCAGUUGCCAUCCUACACCACAGCCACAGCAAUGCAUCCAAGCAGCGUGCAACCUAUACCACAGUUCAUGGCAAUGCCAGAUCCUUAACCCACUGAGCGAGGCCAGGGAUCGAACCCACAUCCUCAGGGAUACUAGACGGGCUCGUUACCACUGAGCCAUCCCCUGGCUCUGCCCAUCUUUGUCCCAGCAUCCUUUACUCUGGUGCAUCCACACCACACUGGUCCCUCUGCUCCUCUAGUUCAUGCCAAACAGACUCCUGCUUCAAGAUCUCCUACUUUUACCCAGUGGCUCCCUCCAUCUGAGAUGGUCUUUCACAGAGAGCACCAUGGCCAAUUUCAUUCCACCAGGCUUCAGCGGGUUACCUGAGGUCUCCCUCCAUCACCUGUGUUGAAGCUGAAAACUCUGAGCCCUUACACGUCACCUCUCCCAUCCCUGCUUUAUUUAUCAUCUGUAGCAGUAUUUCACAUAGGACACACUGGCCUUAACAGUCUUGUAGAGUGCUUUUCUCCUCCACUAGGCAGAAUUUUUAAAACCUUAUUAUUUUUUUUAAAAUUUUUACUUAUUUAUUUAUUUUUUGCCUUUUUGCCAUUUCUUGGGGCACUCCCGUGGCACAUGGAGGUUCCCAGGCUAGGGGUCGAAUCAGAGCUGUAGCCACUGGCCUACGCCAGAGCCACAACAACAUGGGAUCCGAGCCACGUCUGCAACCUACACCACAGCUCAUGGUAACGCCAGAUCCUCAACCCACUGAGCAAGGCCAGGGAUUGAACCUGCAACCGCACGGUUCCUAGUCAGAUUCGUUAACCACUGAGCCACGUCGGGAACUCCUAAAACUUUAUUUUUAUUAGAGUUUAGUUGAUGUAGAGUGUUGUGUCCAUUUCUGCUAUACAGCAAAGUGACCCAGUCAUACACACACACACACACACACACACACACACAUACACACACACAUACAUAUAUAUACAUAUACACACACAUAUACACAUAUAUACCUAUAUACACACACAUAUAUAUAUAUACACAACCUUUUUCUCACACUAUCUUCCAUCUUCCAUACAUCUCCUAUAUGUUCUUCUUUCUCAUGCUAUCUUCAUGUUCUACCUUAAGACACUGUAUAUAGUUCCCUGUGCUGUACAGUAGAAAUUCAUUGCUUAUCCAUUCUAAAUGGAAUUGUUUGUAACUACCAAACCCAAACUCCUGGUGCAUCCCACAGCCUCCCCCUGCACCUCAACCACAAGUCUGUUCUCCAUGGUUUCUGGCUGCAGCUUAGAGAUGGGAUUAAGAUGGCAGAAUAAAAGGACUGGAGCUCAACUUCUCUCCUAAAAACAACAAAAUUCACAACUAAAGACUGAGCAAUCUCCACCCAAAUGGACCGGAAACCCAUACCCUACUCCAGAAGAAAAAGAGGAGGCCACAUCCACAGGUAGGAGGGGUGAUUUCGUGAUAUAAGCAACCCCAUACCUCCCGGGUGGAAAGCUCCACAGACUGAAAACUAACUGGUUCACAGAGACUCACCUACAGGAGUGAGAGUUCUGAGCCCCACAUCAAACCCUCACAUGCAGGGAUCUGGCACUGGGAGAAAGAGCCCCUGGAGCAUCUGGCAUUGAAGGCCAGUGGGGCUUGUGCGCAGGAGCUCCAUGGGACUGGGGGAAAUGGAGACCCCAUUCUUAAAAAGCGCACACAGAUGUUCACGUGCACUGAGUCCCAGGGCAAAGCAAAGUCUCCAUGGGAAUCUGGGUAAAACCUGACUGUAGUUCUUGGAGGACAUCCUGGAAAAACAGGGGUGAACGUGGCUUGUUGUGAGGGAAGGACACUGAAAGCAAAGCUCUCGGGAAUAUCCAGCAGCAGUGCCUUUCUCUGGAGGUGGCCAUUUUGGGAAAAUCUGGCCCCACUCAUCAGUCAGUGCUGAGAAACCCCAGGGCAAACAACAAUCCAGGUGGGAUCACAGCCCCACCCCUCAGUAAACAGGCUACCUAAAGAGCCUCAGGCACACAGCUGCCUCUAAUCCCAUCCAGAGACUAAGCCCCACCCACCAGAGGGAUUAGAAUCGGCUCCUCCUACCAGGGGGCAGGCAUCAGCCCCUCCCAUCAGGAAACCUACAACAAGCCCCCAUACUGACUUCAGCACAAGGGGGGCAGACACCAGAAGUAAGAGAGGCUACAGCUCUAUUAUCUAUAAAAAGGUCAUCACACCAAAAACCUAUAAAAAUGAAAAGACAGAGAACUAUAACUCAGAUGAGGGAGAAAGGAAAAACCCCCAGAAAAUCAACUAAGCAAUGAGGAGAUUCUCAGCCUCCAGGAAAAAGACUUUAGACUGUCAAUGCUGAAGUUCAUGCAAGACAUUGGAAAUAAACCGGAGGCAAAAAUGGAUAACUUACAGGAAACACUGAUCAAAGAGAUACAAGAUGUAAAAAUUAAACAAGAAGAGAUGCAAAAUACAAUAACGGAAAUAAAAAAUGCACUAGAAGCAGCUAACAGCAGAAUACAGGAGGCAGAAGAAUGAAUAAGCAAGGUGGAGGACAGAUUAGAAGAAAUUACAGAUGCAGAACAGAAAAGAGAAAAAAGAUUGAAAAC
rnacentral:lncRNA from 1 species